UUGAGGGCAAGGACCUUCAGCAAACACAGUAAGCACAGAUACCCCAAUUAAAUCAAAGGAUCAGAACCACUCCUCUACAGAGUGUAACUUCUGUAGAGACACCAGAGCCAACAAAUCUCUGAUAGCCAGGCUGCCAAAUGGAAAAGCCCCAUGUGGUAAUUCAGUCAUGUGACUCAUUAAGGAACGGGAUCUAUUGAGCCCAGUCAGGCCCUGGAUGACAUGCUAACCCAAGUCUCAUAGGGGAGACACGGAGUCAAAGCCACUCAACCAAAUUUUCCCAAAUUCUUUAUCCACAGAAGGGAUAACAAAUGCUUAUUGUUUUAAGUCACGAUGGUUUGGAGUAGUUAGUACAUGAUUAGUUCCCUGAGCUUGGAAGCUUAGCUCUGUAUUUGUAUCUCUCUUGAUGCUGAGGUUCAAUUCCUUGCUUCUGUUUGGAUUCUUGGCUACAAUCCAGAACGCGAUUUCAUCUCUGGUUUCAUGAAGAUGGUAAUGCGUCACUACAAAGCCUACGGAGCAGACAGCGAUGGUGGUGAGCUGGCUUUGGAGAUGGUUAAGAUUCAGUUUCUGGGUUGGAGCAAUGGCUUGUGGUCAAGAGUGCUUGUUGCUUUUACAGAGGACCUGAGUUCAGUUCCUAGAGCCUACUUUGGCAGCUCAUAAUUUCCUGUGACUUCAGGUCCAUGGGUAUCAGACACCUCUUUUAGCCUCUGAAGGCACAUGGACUUCUGUGCAAUUCAAACACUCGAAUACACACACACAUACACACACAAAUAAAUGAAAAACCCAGCUUCUUUCUGACUGUGCAGAUGCACAUUAGGACUCCAUAGGCUGAUUUUGAACAAUCAGAUGCAUGAGGCCGUCUUGGCCUACACCGUCAGGCACUGUCUCAGAAAACCACAGGCAUUACCACAGUAAUGCCGUAUAGAGGUGCGAUAUUUGCCUAGCACAGCCAAAGGUGUGGUUAUGACCCUCUAGCACUACAAAAAUAAAUGCAUGAGCACCACGUCUGCUGCUUCGCUUUGUACUCCAGGCCUUGGUUGAUUUGUUCUAGAGUGGCCAGAAUCUGGGAACAAGACUGCUGCUAUCAAACCAAACACUAAGGGUCACAAAACCACAGAGCCAUUUUAGUGAAUGUGCCCUUCCUGAAAAAGUUUAAUCUCUUGUGUAACAGGUUAGGCAUCUGUAGUAGUAACUUUUUAACCUUAUUGGCGUUGGCAAGUAUUACACAAGUAUACUGACAAAGCUUGCAGUGUCUCACACAUAAUAUUAUCACUCUGGGAAGGUCACCAGCCUCUUAAGUCAGAACUUAACUCCUUCCUAUCCAUUGCUCUGCAUAGUCAGUCAAGUACCACAUUGUGUUGUCUAUUUCCCAAAUGCACUUUAAACCAGUCCCCUUUUCCUAUUCUAUUACCAUUCUUUUCAUUGAAGCUUUUGUUUCUUGCCUAGUACAUUCUAUAGCCUCCAGGCCAGGCCCACACAUCUGAGUCACUGUACAGUUGUCAGUAUGUCCUUUAAAGACACGGGAAUCAUCCUGUUACCACUUGGAGGAAAGAGGAUUUUUUUUUUUUAAUGUAGGGGGCUGGUGAGAUGGCUGGGGGAAGGGGCAGGAGGCAGGUAAUGGCACUUGCAGCUAAACCUGAUGACCCAGGACAUACAUUGUCUUCUGGGCGCCACAUGCAUUCAAUGGCACUUGCAUAAGUAAGUAAUAAGUGUAAAAAAAAAAGUUCCCAUAAUGACACCUGGGCUCUAUAAUAGAUUUAGAAUAAAUUUCAGCUCAAAUUUCCCGUGUCAGUGCCAAGAGCAUCAGUUUAGACAAGGGUAGUCUGUUGGCUCACAGAUAGACGGCGGCGGCAGGUUAUCUUACUAAGGGCAGAUACUUCUCAACCUGUGGCCCCAUUUUCUGUUUCUGGAGAUGCAGUAAGUACACAGACAGCUCCAUCUUUAGACAGGUUAACAUUAAAAAUAACCAAAGUCAACUGCAAAAUGAUGAGGCUGGCACACACCUUUAUUAGUCCUAGACUUGGGGAGGCAGAGACAAGCAGAUAGAUCUCUGUGAGUUCAAGGCUAGCCUGGUCGUCUACAUAGCAAGUUCCCAAAAAAGCAAGACUACAUAAUAAUACUUUCUCAAAACUAACAAAAAACAUCUCUAUAGCCCCAAGAAUACAGCCUAACUCAUCCGAAACCCUAAAAAUAUGUGAUCAGUUAGGAUGGGAUUUACAAGAGUUGGUGACUGAGAGAGAGCUGCAAAAAGGGAGACAGAAACAAGCUGUUUCCAAAAAACAAAAUAGAAGUGCAAGUCCUCCAGCCACUUAAAAGUUGGAGAGGAAGCCAGGCAGUGGUGGCGCAUGUCUUUGAUCCCUGCACUUGGGAGGCAGAUUUCUGAAUUCGAGGCCAGCCUGGUCUACAGAGUGAGUUCCAGGGCGGCCAGGGCUACACAGAGAAACCCUGUCUAAAAACAAAACAAAACAAAACAAGAAACAAAAACAAAAAGAAAAAGAAAAAAGGAAAAAAGGUUGGAGAGGAGGGGGAAGCAUUGCUAGUCUAGGAUUAAACAUCUCCCACGUAGAAAGAGAACUAAUCACACUAAGAUAAUUUUCCCUGAUCCUCAGGUGCUCAGGCAAUAACAACAUCUACAACUUAAGACAGACUACCCCAAGGGACAGGGACUAGCCAAAGACAUUCAAACUACAGAGUAGUUAGUCUAACUUGGCAUCUGAUCCACCCAUUCGUUUAUUAGCAUGGUUCAAGAGAGCUCCAGACACCUUGGAACCUCCUAUACAGGCAACAGGCCAGCGUAGGGGACAAAGUCCUAGUCGUUUGCGUUUAGUGGGAAAGGUUCACAACUAGAAAUUAUUUUCCACUCCACACUGGCACCCGUGCUCCCAGAGGCUGGCUGGUGACUGCAGCAGCUGUGACAGGGCUGUGACAGGGCGAGAAUGACCCUGACUGAAGCGCAGGGCAUUCGAGGAGGUGCUCUGGCGCGGGAAUCACGCUCCUCCCACAAGUAAACCUCCGGAAGCCGCCAGGCCGGAUUUUUCAGGCCCUCAACAUUUAUAGGGCUUCUGGACACCACUCUACGACCCGGCCACUUCCUAAGGGGGAUCUGAAGGACGCCGGCCAUGAGCAGCUCGAGCAGCUGGCGGCGGGCAGCCACCGUGAUGUUGGCAGCAGGCUGGACCCACUCGAGCCCGGCCGGCUUCCGGCUGCUGCUUCUCCAGCGAGCACAAAACCAGCGCUUCUUGCCCGGCGCGCACGUCUUCCCGGGCGGCGUGCUGGACGCGGCCGACAGCUCACCCGACUGGGUGCGUCUGUUCGCGCCUCGGCACACGCCGCCGCGCUUCGGCCUAGGCCCGGAGCCCCCUCGGCAACCCCCCUUCCCCGGGCUGUCCCACGGCGACGCGGACCCCGCGGCGCUGCCCGAUGACGUAGCGCUGCGCAUCUGUGCCAUCCGCGAAGCCUUCGAGGAGGCGGGGGUGCUGCUCCUGCGGCCGCGGGACGCGGCUCCAGCUUCUCAGGAGCCCAGUCAGGCGCUGUCGCCUCCGGCCGGCCUGGCCGAAUGGCGCUCGCGCGUGCGCAGUGACCCGCGCUGCUUCCUCCAGCUGUGUGCGCACCUAGACUGCACGCCUGACAUCUGGGCGCUGCACGACUGGGGCGGAUGGCUCACCCCGUAUGGGCGAACCAUCCGCCGUUUCGACACCACCUUCUUCCUGUGCUGCCUGCGCGACAUUCCGCGCGUGGAGCCCGACGUGGCCGAGGUGGUGGGCUACCAGAUUUUGUUCGGAUCGCCCAUCAGAAGUACCUGAGAAAUGGCUGCCAAUAAUACUUUUAACUUCUGAUGGCACCAUCCAUCUUCUCCCAGGAGAUGAGCUGUAUGUGAAAGACUCAGACUUCUUGGAAAAGAAUAUGUCUACUGACAAAAAGACUGAAGAAAUCGUGAAGGAAGGCAAAGUCCUUAACCGAGUUGUGAUCCACAGUCCCUAUGUGUACGAAAUCUACAUGACUCUUCCGUCAGAGAAUAAGCACGUGUACCCUAGGAACUACAUAGUGAAUAAGAGAUGUACUGCCCACCUGUAAGCCGCACUACUUAUGUACUGUUAGCAAAUAAUGAAGAUUGACUGAACCUGUCUAAAAAUCUAAGGAAUGUACCCAUAAAAGUCACAAUGAGGUGUUACCUGUGUCAUGUGUGUUUUGGGAGCCUCUGCCAUUUGUCAGACUGCACAGCAAGCCAAAUGUAGAAUGGACGAAGUAGUAAAGCUCUUGUCACCAAGAUGAACGGUUUCACGACAGUUGUUUUAUUAGUUGAACAUUGGAAAGUGGUCUCCUGCCAUCCUCUAACUGUCCCACGCGUUAGCAGGUUUCCUGGUGCGCUGUGGAGACUGAGCCCUGGCUCUCUUACACUUUCGCAGGAAUUGAUUCCGAGAUACCUAGUUAAAGAGUGCUGAGGGUCAGAUGUGAGAGGACUCCCACUUGCUCCCUGGUUGGUAGCCAUUUUGGCAGGUUGUGAAAACUGAGGGGCAGGCUUUAGCUAGGGUCUUGAGGGAUCGAGUCUUAACUCUGUGCCAGCAGGGUCCUUUGUUUCUCCAUCUGAGGAGAUGCGAGCAGACUUUGCCUCAGGUUUCUGCCUCCAGGAAGGUCCCUUGUUUCUUCUGUCGGGCUUUUGAUCACAGUAAGGAAAGUUAAUAUAAAUAAACAGUGAUCAUCCUUCAAAGGGGAUGUCAUGGUCGUGCCAUAGAAUCAACUUGAUAAUUAACAUACAGUAUUUGCAUUAAAACCAAAUGACAUUCAUUUUGACA